AUUGAACGCUGGCGGCAUGCUUUACACAUGCAAGUCGAGCGGCAGCGCGGGGCAACCUGGCGGCGAGCGGCGAACGGGUGAGUAACACAUCGGAACGUAUCUUCAAGGUGGGGGAUAACCUAUCGAAAGGUAGGCUAAUACCGCAUAAGCGAAGGGAUUAGGAAAGGCGGGGGAUUCGCGAGGACCUCGCGUCUUUUGGAGCGGCCGAUGUCGGAUUAGGUAGUUGGGUAGGGGUAAAGGCUCACCAAGCCUGCGAUCCGUAGCGGGUCUGAGAGGAUGAUCCGCCACACUGGGACUGAGACACGGCCCAGACUCCUACGGGAGG
rnacentral:rRNA from 1 species